CAGCCGCCGCGGGAAUACAGAGGGUGCGAGCGUUAAUCGGAUUUACUGGGCGUAAAGCGUGCGUAGGCGGCUUCUUAAGUCGGAUGUGAAAUCCCUGAGCUUAACUUAGGAAUUGCAUUCGAUACUGGGAAGCUAGAGUAUGGGAGAGGAUGGUAGAAUUCCAGGUGUAGCGGUGAAAUGCGUAGAGAUCUGGAGGAAUACCGAUGGCGAAGGCAGCCAUCUGGCCUAAUACUGACGCUGAGGUACGAAAGCGUGGGGAGCAAACAGGAUUAGAUACCCCAGUAGUCCCUGUCUCUUAUAC
rnacentral:rRNA from 1 species